AUUGAACGCUGGCGGCAUGCUUUACACAUGCAAGUCGAACGGUAACAGGUUAAGCUGACGAGUGGCGAACGGGUGAGUAAUGCAUCGGAACGUGCCCGGUCGUGGGGGAUAACGCAGCGAAAGCUGCGCUAAUACCGCAUACGAUCUGAGGAUGAAAGCGGGGGACCGUAAGGCCUCGUGCGAUCGGAGCGGCCGAUGUCAGAUUAGGUAGUUGGUGGGGUAAAGGCUCACCAAGCCAACGAUCUGUAGCUGGUCUGAGAGGACGACCAGCCACACUGGGACUGAGACACGGCCCAGACUCCUACGGGAGGCAGCAGUGGGGAAUUUUGGACAAUGGGCGAAAGCCUGAUCCAGCAAUGCCGCGUGCAGGAAGAAGGCCUUCGGGUUGUAAACUGCUUUUGUACGGAGCGAAAAGGUCUCCUCUAAUACAGGGGGCUCAUGACGGUACCGUAAGAAUAAGCACCGGCUAACUACGUGCCAGCAGCCGCAGUAA
rnacentral:rRNA from 1 species